rnacentral:rRNA from 1 species
ACGGGAGGCAGCAGUGGGGAAUAUUGGGCAAUGGGCGCAAGCCUGAUGCAGCGAUGCCGCGUGAGGGAAGAAGGUUUUCGGAUUGUAAACCUCUGUCAACAGGGACGAAAAUGACGGUACCUGUGAAGGAAGCUCCGGCUAACUACGUGCCAGCAGCCGCGGUAAUACGUAGGGAGCAAGCGUUAUCCGGAAUUACUGGGUGUAAAGGGAGUGUAGGCGGGACUGUAAGUCAGAUGUGAAAUAUGCCGGCUCAACUGGCAGACUGCAUUUGAAACUGCGGUUCUUGAGUGAAGUAGAGGUAAGCGGAAUUCCUAGUGUAGCGGUGAAAUGCGUAGAGAUCGGUAGGAACACCAGUGGCGAAGGCGGCUUUCUGGACUGAAACUGACGCUGAGGCGCGAAAGCGUGGGGAGCAAACAGGAUUAGAUACCCUGGUA